GUCCACGCCCUAAACGAUGUCAACUGGUUGUUGGGUCUUCACUGACUCAGUAACGAAGCUAACGCGUGAAGUUGACCGCCUGGGGAGUACGGCCGCAAGGUUGAACUCAAGGAAUUGACGGGACCCGCACAAGCGGUGGAUGAUGUGGUUUAAUUCGAUGCAACGCGAAAACCUUAACCCUACCUUUGUACAUGUACGGAAGUUGCCAGAGAUGGCUUCGUGCUCGAAAGAGAGCCGUAACACAGGUGCUGCAUUGCUGUCGU
rnacentral:rRNA from 1 species